GCAUAACGCGAAGAACCUUACCAGGUCUUGACAUCCUUUUGCCUUUCCUAGAGAUAGGACUUUCCCCUUCGGGGACGAAAAGUAGACAGGUGGUGCAUGGUUGUCGUCAGCUCGUGUCGUGAGAUGUUGGGUUAAGUCCCGCAACGAGCGCAACCCUUGUCCUUAGUUGCCAGCAUUCAGUUGGGCACUCUAAGGAGACUGCCGGUGACAAACCGGAGGAAGGUGGGGAUGACGUCAAAUCAUCAUGCCCCUUAUGACCUGGGCUACACACGUGCUACAAUGGAUGGUACAAAGGGCUGCAAAACCGCGAGGUUGAGCCAAUCCCAUAAAACCAUUCUCAGUUCGGAUUGUAGGCUGCAACUCGCCUACAUGAAGCCGGAAUCGCUAGUAAUCGCGGAUCAGCAUGCCGCGGUGAAUACGUUCCCGGGU
rnacentral:rRNA from 1 species